rnacentral:ncRNA from 1 species
CCUUAUUUAGAGUGGCUGAGGGACAGGCCCUUUGAAGCCCGGCAACCUGCGGUUAAGCAAGGUGCCAAUUCCUGCGGCAGCGGAGCAUUCUCCGGCCGAGAAAUAAG